UGACUUCUCAUACAACAUUCCUUUUAUAUAUGUGACGUAAUGAAGUAUGAGAGCAUGAGUUUUUACCAGAAGGAAAUCUCACUGUUUUAUUUUCUUUAAAAAAUAUAAAGAUAAAAAUUGUAAUUGCUUUUCAAUUCCUUAAUGGAAAUUGACUGGUAGGUAGGCUCCAAUGCAAAGUCCAAACAUUGGCAAAAUAAAAGUCCACAAAAAUUGAGACAUGAUGAGAAUUUUGCUUUUGAAACGAAACCUUUGUGGCUUUUACACUUUCACACACUAUAUCUAUAUUCUCCUCAUUUUUUUUAUUUGUUUUUCUAUGUGUAUAAAUGAGUCUACUCUAAGUCUCCCACUCAACACAAAACAAUAAUAAAUAAUCUUAUGAUUAGUUAUUACAAUUAAUAAAACAUAGAAAUUAUAGAACUCCUUCAUCAUCAUCAUCAUCAUGUCCAACAAAUUGGUCACCUUCUUCAUCACCUUGGUUCUUCUUCUUAGCUUCAUCAGCUUAAUCCAUGCAUCUCGUCCUAACUUUGCCUCACUCAAUGGAUUCUCUUCAUUAAAUAAGGAUAUUAUUGUUGGUACUAAAGAAGCAAAAAUGGAAGGUUUGGAAGAAGAUGAGAAGAGUUGUGAAGGAACUAGUUCUGAUAAUGAAGAAUGCUUGAUGAGAAGGACCCUAGUUGCUCAUACAGAUUAUAUCUACACUCAGAAGCAUCAUCCAAAACCUUAAUUAAAAUUAAGUAAACUAGUAUCAUCAUAUCAAUCAAACAAGAAUAAAUAAUGGGAGUAAAAAGAAUCUAUAUAUAAAUAUAUACUUAUUUGUGUGUGUCAUUCAGG